UUCAGGGGCAUCAGAAGGAGCAUUGUGGGCAUCUAAGUUGGCCUGGGGUCCUCUGGAGGUUGCCUCCCUCUUUCUGUCUCUGUUGUUUGUGCCUGGGUGAGAGUUCUCUGCUGUGUUUGUUCUCUCUUUUUGCAGGGAGCUGAACUGCUUUGCCCCAGCCCAGCUGCAGAUCUGCACUCAGCCUCAGCCCCAAGCCCUGGCAGGGUGGGAUGCUUUGGUACCAGGCCGUGGAGCUGUUUGAAAUGCAAUUGCUGCUUGCAGCUGGUUCAGAAAUGGAUUUCCUGUGGCUGUGGGGGCAGAAAUGUCUCUGUGCACACGCUCAGAGGACAGGUCCCUGGAUUGCAGUGCUGCUCCAAUGGCCUGUGGUGGCUGCAGGCAGCCGCGGCCCGGGGAGCCCAAGACUCAGCGUGUGGAAGGGUUGGGAGCAGCCCUGGGUGCCUGCAAGGAUUCGGGAGGCCCGAGCAGGUCUGAAACCCUGCCACGGAGAGGCACAGGCCCCGCAGCAGUGCCUGCAUUUCAGCAGCUGCCCAUCGGAGCUAAGCACAGCCUCGGCUCAGAGCUCAGGAGCAUGUCUGCUGGGCAGUGCUGGGGGCCAGGCGUCCCUCCUGUGUGUGCAUGGCCCACAUGGCAGCACCCUGCAGUCAGAGCUGACUGUGUGCACUGGAGGUGGAGUGUUGGAGUGGGAUCAGCUCAGAGCUCUGCAAGGUUUGCACUUUGCUUUCCACUCCACUGGCCAAGCCAGCCAGAUGUGCAGCAGCAGCAGGAUGGGCACGAGGGCCCCAGCUGCUGCGGUGAAUCCGUCAGCAUGGACGCUGGUGCCGCUGCAGCCUGGCCCUGCAGCCUGGCAGGGUGAUCUCCUUUGGCUCGGCUCCUGUGGGCUCCAGAUGCUGACAGAGCAGCUGGAUGAGCAGAAAGCCUCUCGUGCAAACGGCUGUGGAGUGCUUCUCUCUGUUCCCUGCUGCUGGGAGGUGCUGACAGCUGCAGGGAUGGAUUUGCCUGCACUCAAGCUGCUGCUGCUGCCAGAGCCCCUCCGUGUCAAUCUGUGCUGCCGUUGGGUUCUGCAGCUCUCUCCAGCAAGCAUGGCAUGAGCUGAAGGAGCAGCAGGAGCAGCAUGGCCGUUCCCCAGGCAGCAGGAGGGUUCAGCCCAGCACCAGCUCAUGCGGGAGGAGCAGAUGCUGAGGAACAUCCCCCACGAGACGCAGGUGGCCAAAGAGGCUGGGUCAGGAGAGUCCCAUUUCAUUCUUGAUGCUUUCUUUAAGAGAGGCAUACAACUGAGCUCCCUCAGAGAAGCAGCAUGAAGUGCAUGAAGGAUGCUGGCUGCACUCAGUACAGACAAGGCACAUUGGAUUGACUACUUCUUCUCUGGCCUUUGGAGUGAAGGAAGGGAAAAACCAGAGUUGAAGAUGUCAGCUCUGUAAGUUUUCUCUGGGUGAUCAAAGCAUGCACAACAUCCUGUGCUUGUGCUCUGGAAGAUUCUAGGAGCUUCACGGGGACUCAGGGAGCACAAGUUCUGGAUUUCUGUGGGCUGUCUCUAGAUGAACACCUGAGUGCAGUGAAUCUAAAAGCAGCUGUCUCUCAUUUGAAGUUAAAGUGAUGUGACUGAUCUGGUGCUUUAUAGGUGCCAAAAAGGAGACCUUCUUCACCUGCUUCUCCUGUGCAAGCUCUUCUGUCUGUCUGCUGAGAUGUUUCUGCCUGUUUCUCUGGCAGAGAAGUGUUUGCUUUUUGGGCUGGCGAGCUGACCAUCCGUACUACCGUCGCCUUGAAUGCCUCCAACCAGCAGUGUUUGCUGCCAGACAGACACCUGGAGAAGACAGAGGACAUGCUGCGGUGGCUCCGAUUGUUACGCCGUGUGAUUUAUCUUCCUGUCCUGGCUGUCUUCCCGUGCUGGGUGCUGGCAGUGAAUACGUGGUGAGGAGUGCUUGGGGUGUGCCAUCCUUUGCUGUUCUCACUGUGGGAACUCCAAGAGCCAUGGAAUGGGCACAGGCUGGUGAUGGACUUCUGCAACGAAGCAAGAGAGUCCUCUGUGAGGCCAAGGCUGCUGUAAUGGAGGUUGGAUCCUCGAGGGUUUUGCUCUGGGUUCUGCGAUGGAGGCAAAGAUGGAGCAGGAGCACUAACUGGAGCUGGUAACGGACCAGCAGCAGCAGCUGGUAAUGGAACUGGUAAUGGAGCAGAAGCUGGUAACGUAGAGUGGAGAGGAGGAGGAGGAAAGCAGCAGAGACUGCCCGGGGGAAGGCAGAGAGUGGGGGCAGGACGGCAGGGGCUGCCCGGGGAAAGGUGGAGGGCAGCGGCAGGAGGGCAGGGAAGAGGUACAGAGCUUUCAGGUGCUGAGCUUCAACAGAAAGACCUGAUGGAAAAGAAAAGAGACUAACUUGUUUAGCAAAAGUACUCUCUGGAAUUUCCCAAGUCGCUUAUUUAUUGAAGGGAGUCAUUUGUUGGUCAUUGUCAUCAUGAGAGAGGACCUUUUGGUUUGCGUUAGGGUGGUUUGGGCUUGCCUGUAACUCCAGGCCCCUCAGAAAUUGAUGGGGGGGGAAAACCCCAACCCAUGGAUGUUCUCUUGGUUGUCUUUAACAGAUAAACCAAGAGCAAGUGCGACUGAAAGAGCUUUGCAGAAAGCAGGAGUCAGCCACCUGCCACCCAUCCCCUCCUGACCCCAACCCCAGAAACCCAAAGCAGCACUUGGCACAGGAGGUCUCUCGUGUUGCAGUCUCAACUUCAAGCCCUGGAAUACUUUGCUUCAGCCAGCAGCAUGGGGUUGGAUACCAACAGCAGAGUCGACUUAACCUGUGACUAAGUGAACUUUAAGUGUUCUGACUCCACAGUGGAACCUGAUAAAGAAAGAUGUGAAUGGAA